rnacentral:rRNA from 1 species
UACGAAGGGGGCUAGUGUUGCUCGGAAUCACUGGGCGUAAAGCGCACGUAGGCGGAUUGUUAAGUCAGGGGUGAAAUCCUGGAGCUCAACUCCAGAACUGCCUUUGAUACUGGCGAUCUCGAGUCCGGGAGAGGUGAGUGGAACUGCGAGUGUAGAGGUGAAAUUCGUAGAUAUUCGCAAGAACACCAGUGGCGAAGGCGGCUCACUGGCCCGGUACUGACGCUGAGGUGCGAAAGCGUGGGGAGCAAACAGG